AUUUAGGGGCUGGCCCAGUGGUGCAGCGGUUAAGCACGCACAUUCUGCUUCAGCGGCCUGGGGUUCGUCAGUUUGGAUCCCGGGUGCGGACAUGGCACCUCUUGGCAAGCCAUGCUGUGGUCAUUUUCUCUCUCUAGAAAGUUCCCUGCUGUGUCAAUUGGCCUACCAUCUUGGAAAACAGAAUGUGAAGUGUCGAUUGACAGAGGACAUCCUUACUCCCAGCUGGCACCUCCGAGUUCACGCCGUCUUCCUUCUGCGUGAAGGAUGUGGAAACCAACACUUCCCCGGGGAAGUUCUGGCUGAGGGGAUGAAUUCUGGCUCCUUGGUUUCUACAGGAUUCUCUUACCGCCCUUCCGGUCGCUCCAGGAUGACCACAAUCCGGACACACUGUUCUUUUCAGACCCGCUCUCCCACCGCUGGCCGAUGGGAAGCCCUCCAAACCUGGAAGGUGGGCCUUCUCAAGAUCCCCAGGGGGGCCCGAAGCUGUCCCUCAUCUUGCCUGGAAGGUAGUCCUUUUUUCCACGUGAGCCAUCCCAGGGCCACGGACAGUCUUUUCUGGAAGCUGCUUGGGUUCUGAUUUGUCUCAGAGUCUCUGCCGUUAGACGGAUUCAGUGCACCUGGUCUCAGACGGGGCUCUUUGAUUGUCGCUAGAGUAAUCUUGCUUUUGUGGGGUGGGGGCAUUUUUUUUGACAUCAUUUCCCCUGGAGAGUCAACACUUUAUUCCGUGGUAAUCCAUGUGUCACGGGUAAAGCUGACGCGCCUUCCUGGCCCGGGGACGAUGUGUGACCCAGGUCUGGCCACUCUGAAUCCUCCACGCACCUGCUCCUCCACGAUAAGCGACACAGAGAUAGACGUGGGAGCCUCCCAAGCCAACCUGGUCUUCCCCAGGCCUUUCCCAGGGCCUUUGGGACAGAUGUGAUCCCUUCUCCAGGACCCACGCUUUGUGGACCAGGAAGGCCCGGUGUUGCCGAGGAUCAUUUUUAGGUGAAAGCAAGAUCGAGACAACCAGCGUGGAGAGGUGGAGAGAGAGAGAUUCUGGAUGCCUUCAGUCAGAUCCAAGGACCCGAAUGUGACUGAGACCAGACCCUCCCAUUGAUUUUCCAGUGACGGGAACCAACGAAUGACCUUCCGGGUUAGGCCAGUUUGAGAUGGGUUUCUGGCUCUCUCAAGUAGGAGUCCCAACUAAUUUGCCAACUGGGAAUAAAAAACAAAAAUGGGGUCAUCAGAGGAAGUUGGGGGCUGAUGGGUUCAGAGGAAGAGCUAAGCAUUCAGACUCCAGGAAGGAGGGAUCCAGUGAGCAUCAGGCAUCCUGGCCUCAGGGACGCAGGGAGUCCAGGCACCUGCGUGCGGGCUCCAUUGGAUUUCCACUCCAACGCAGAGUUCCAGGGAGCAAUUAUCCAAGUGACCCAGCUUGGGUCCCAUGCCUGACCUGUUGCUGGAGAGCUGGGUGGACCCCACGUGAUGGGGGAGCAGUCACCGCCCCCGGAGGAAAGGUGUCUUAGGAUGAAGAGAAGGCUGAGCAGUGACAAGUGCAGAUGUCCACCGCAGCUCCGGAAGCAGCAGAUGGCACGGGGCCAUUUUCUCUCUGGUUCGAUGAGACUGCCCUGGGGUGCUUUCGCUCGAAGGCUUGGCGGAGGGGCUACCCGUGGGGCGGAGGGAAAGUUGGCUUUUGGAGUUAGACGAUGGAGAUGGUAACAAUGCUGCCUCUCCGAGCUCCCUGGGCGACCC
rnacentral:lncRNA from 1 species